AUUGAGCGCUGGCGGCAGGCCUCACACAUGCCAGUCGAGCGAGCGGCGGACGGGUGAGUUAUUUCUGUGAAACUGCCUGAUGGAGGGGGAUCACUACUUGAAACGGUAGCUAAUACCGCAUACCAUCAGUUGUGCCCAGAUGGGAUGAGCUAGUGGGUGGGGUAAUGGCUCACCUAGGCGUCGAUCCCUAGCUGGUCUGAGAGGAUGACCAGCCAGACUGGAACGGAUACACGUUCCAGCCUCCUACGUGAGGCAGCAGUGGGGAAUAUUGCACAAUGGGCGCCAGCCUUAUGCAGUCUUGCCGCUUGUAGGAAGAAGGCCGUCGGGUUGUACAGUACCCUCAGCGGGGAGGCGUUUCCCGCAGAAGAAGCACCGGCAAAAUACGUGCCAGCAGCCGCGGUAAUUC
rnacentral:rRNA from 1 species